rnacentral:rRNA from 1 species
GACGGAGGAGGCAAGCGUUGUUCGGAAUUACUGGGCUUAAAGCGCGUGUAGGCGGGUUGUUAAGUACCUUGUGAAAGCCCAUGGCUCAACCGUGGAAUUGCUUGGUAUACUGGCGAUCUUGAGACAGGUAGAGGCGAGCGGAACUCUUGGUGGAGCGGUGAAAUGCGUAGAUAUCAAGGGGAACGCCGGAAGCGAAAGCGGCUCGCUGGGCCUGUUCUGACGCUGAGACGCGAAAGCGUAGGUAGCAAACGGGAUUAGAUACCCCGGUAGUCUACGCCGUAAACGAUGCGCACUAGAUAUAGGGAUCUCUGACGAUUUCUGUGUCGUAGCAAAAGUGUUAAGUGCGCCGCCUGGGGAGUACGGCCGCAAGGCUAAA